rnacentral:rRNA from 1 species
UAAGGAAUAUUGGACAAUGGAGGCAACUCUGAUCCAGCCAUGCCGCGUGAAGGAAUAAGGCCCUAUGGGUUGUAAACUUCUUUUAGACGGGACAAAACCCCUUUACGUGUAAAGGGUUGAUGGUACUGUCAGAAUAAGCAUCGGCUAACUUCGUGCCAGCAGCCGCGGUAAUACGAAGGAUGCAAGCGUUAUCCGGAAUUAUUGGGUUUAAAGGGUGCGUAGGCGGACUAAUAAGUCAGUGGUGAAAGCCUGCAGCUUAACUGCAGAAUUGCCACUGAUACUGUUAGUCUUGAGUACAGUUGAGGUAGGCCGAAUGUGUCAUGUAGCGGUGAAAUGCUUAGAUAUGACACAGAACACCGAUUGCGAAGGCAGCUUGCUAAGCUGUAACUGACGCUGAGGCACGAAAGCGUGGGGAGCAAACA